GCCAGCUGCUGGUGGUGCCAGAUCUCCAUGCGAGGACGGAGGCUGUGAUGAGAAGACAGCACUGGGGAUGGACUGGUUGGAUCUCCUUGCAGUCCAAGAGACUCUCCAGAGUCUUCUCCAACAUGCAGUUUCAGAAUCGACUAAUACCAAAUAAGUGUUUUCCAUUGGGCUGCUUCAGGUCAAGAACCAUGACAAUACUGCCUCUGCAUCCCCUCCCUCCUCCCAAAGCCCUGGAUGAACCCGAAACCUCUGACUUUGCUCAGCGGGACUUUGCAAUGGCUAAUCCACAGCAGCCCACUUUCUCCAGCUUCUUCUCCCAGUUGGGGGAUGAGCCAGCUGGGCAGAGAAGAACCUUGUCUCUCAAG